CACCAGGACUGGCCUGAAAGAAUCUCCUCCCCCACGGGCCAGAGUCCCAGCUUCGCUAGGCUGGUGGAGAGGAAGAGGAACAGUCCUGAGGAGAUGCCUGAGAGGCACAUGGAGAGAUAGGCCCCAGUGGAGGUGAGCAGACUGCAAGCAGCAGGGACCCGUGGCCUCUCUCCCACACUCCAUAACAGCUGGAAGAGCAGUUGGCCAGGAUUGCAACCGACCAGCAACAACAGCCUCAAGAGGAGACAGAGAGACAGCAUGAGGUCAACAAGGUGACAGAGGGGUUUGGAAGGCUUGAGCUGUGGAUGAGGACAGAGGCUUGGGUGGGUUAGGAUCCCGUUCUCCAGGCAGGUUCUGAUCUCAAGCUUGAAGGUUUCUUUGCUCAAUGUGUGGAGGUUGAAUACACGCACAUGGGGUAAAGACAGAGGUGUCCAGGCCACACGACACUGGUUGCAGCCUCUCACCAGCUUCCCAGAUGCCCACUUUUCUCUGCUGCGCUCACUCUGAAGGGCAGAUCAACAGGGAAGGGCGAGGAAAGGAUCAAGGUGGAGAGGCUUUCCACAUGAAGGUCGGAGGUCAAAGGUCAGCCAUUGGUGCAUCUAGCCUGAGACCCACACAGACUUGUUGGAUGAUAGUGCAGAAGCUCUUCUCAUCCAGUAGAGAUAAGCCUCCUGGGGACACACACGCACACACACACACACACACACACACACACAGAGGAAUGCAUAUGAAACUGGUAAAUCUGAUAAUCUGGAUGUUCUAUACUAAAGUCACUUUCCUGGUAGCCAUACAAGAUGUCACCACUGGGAAAACCCGAGGGAAAAGCCCACAGGAUCUGUCUAUCUCUUCUUUGUUAUUUCUGACAAAUGCAUAUACUGCAUAUGAAUUUACAUUUCAAGGGACUUGCAUAGGAUUCCUGAGGCCCUCAGUUCCAUUUGCACACACACACACACACACACACACACUCACACUUUUAUGGAUCCAGAACUGACCUUAAGCUAAGGGAUAAACACUGGGAAAGACUGAAAACCAGGGUUGUUCAGAGAUGAAGAAGAGUCUUCUUGACUUGCUGGUUGCUUAAAUAAAUGAAUCAUCUCCAUUCUGGGAUGCUGAAGUCAAAAUGUGCAUGUUUGUGUAUGUGUGCACAAGUGUGUGUGUGUGUGUGUGUGUGUGCGCUUGAGAGCAUGAGCAUGCAUUCCCAGGUGCACAGUACAGAAGAAACAAUUUAAACACUGAAUUAUGUCCAUAAAGAUUCAAGCCUUAGGGAAUGUCUUUUCAUGUAGCUCGCAUACAUUAACGCUGACUCUUUGUGAUGUGCAGGCCUCCGGUUUUUGACAAAUGCAUGAAAUUGUGUAUUUUCUAGCCCAGGAACAUACAAAGCAGUUCCUGGAUCCUAAAUAUUCACGUGUGCGCCUCUUUGUAGUCAGCCACACCUUGUCUACCAGUCCCUGGCAACCUCCAAUGAGGAAUUGAAUUCUACAAUGUAAGUUGAAUUCUAAAAAGGUUUUUAAAAAAAAAGUGGGAGAAGGCACAGGACACAGAACAGGAAGAACAAAG
rnacentral:sRNA from 1 species